rnacentral:rRNA from 1 species
CCUACGGGGGGCAGCAGUAGGGAAUCUUUCACAAUGGGCGAAAGCCUGAUGGAGCAACGCCGCGUGGGUGAAGAAGGUCUUCGGAUCGUAAAACCCUGUUGUUAGAGAAGAAAGUGCGUGAGAGUAACUGUUCACGUUUCGACGGUAUCUAACCAGAAAGCCACGGCUAACUACGUGCCAGCAGCCGCGGUAAUACGUAGGUGGCAAGCGUUAUCCGGAUUUAUUGGGCGUAAAGGGAACGCAGGCGGUCUUUUAAGUCUGAUGUGAAAGCCUUCGGCUUAACCGGAGUAGUGCAUUGGAAACUGGGAGACGUGAGUGCAGAAGAGGAGAGUGGAACUCCAUGUGUAGCGGUGAAAUGCGUAGAUAUAUGGAAGAACACCAGUGGCGAAAGCGGCUCUCUGGUCUGUAACUGACGCUGAGGUUCGAAAGCGUGGGUAGCAAACAGGAUUAGAGACCCUGGUAGUC